rnacentral:rRNA from 1 species
CAAAACCAGCUAUGGUAGUGGGGUCUAACCCCUCCACUAUUGUAAGGUGAAUCUGGAUAACUUUGCUGAUCGUAUGGCCUUGUGCCGGCGACGUUUCAAUUGAAUUUCUGCCCUAUCAACUUGUUGGUAAGGUAGUGGCUUACCAAGGUUACAACGGGUAACGGGGAAUCAGGGUUCGAUUCCGGAGAGGGAGCCUGAGAAAUGGCUACCACAUCCAAGGGAGGCAGCAGGCGCGCAAAUUACCCAAUCCAAACAAUGGGAGGUGGUGACGAGAAAUACUAGAUGGUUUCCCAAAAGGAUGCCAUACUGGAAUGGACGUAAUUUAAGCAAUUCGAUGAGUAACAACUGGAGGGCAAGUCUGGUGCCAGCAGCCGCGGUAAUUCCAGCUCCAGUAGUGUAUUUUAAUGUUGCUGCGUUUAAAACGCUCGUAGUUGGAUCACUAAGUGUGUGUGGGUAGAUUGGCAGAGCAGUACACUAAAUCCAAUCUAUUGCAGGCUAGCUUUGGUUAAUCCAGGUUACGUCUGUGGUGGGUUGGAGUGCUGCAUGUCGAUUAACAGCCUACAUAUACUAAUUACAGCGUGAGGAUGGUGGUUGACCUUUAGUGCGUUGACCAUUGUGUCUCACGGAGUGUGCCUUGAAUAAAUAAGCGUGCUCAAAGCAGGUUAUAGCUUGAAUGUUAAUAGCAUGGAACGAACAAUUGUGUACAAUGUGUUCUGGUGCCAUACAUGCGUGGGUUUAUAUCUGCGUGUGUUUUGGUGUUGGGAUACAGCACCAACCGCCAAUAAC